UUCCUACGGGGGGCAGCAGUGGGGAAUAUUGCACAAUGGGGGGAACCCUGAUGCAGCGACGCCGCGUGGGUGAAGGAGUACUUCGGUACGUAAAGCCCUAUCAGCAGGAAAGAAAAUGACGGUACCUGACUAAGAAGCCCCGGCUAACUACGUGCCAGCAGCCGCGGUAAUACGUAGGGAGCGAGCGUUAUCCGGAAUUAUUGGGUGUAAAGGGUGCGUAGACGGGAAAACAAGUUAGUUGUGAAAUCCCUCGGCUUAACUGAGGAACUGCAACUAAAACUAUUUUUCUUGAGUGCAGGAGAGGG
rnacentral:rRNA from 1 species